GGAAUUAAAAGUCGUAACAAGGUUUCCGUAGGUGAACCUGCGGAAGGAUCAUUAUUGUAUAACCGAGGUGCGAGGGCUGUCGCUGACCCGAAAGGUCGUGCACGCCCGAGUGCCCUCACACACAUCCAUCUCACCCCUAUGUGCACCACCGCGUGGGUCCCCCUUUGGCUUGUUCGGAGGGGGGCUUACGUUUUCACACAAACUUUGUAUGCAGUGUAGAAUGUAUUUUUUGUUUUUGCGAUCACGCAAUCAAUACAACUUUCAACAACGGAUCUCUUGGCUCUC
rnacentral:misc_RNA from 1 species